CUUAAGCAUAUUAUUAAGCGGAGGAAAAGAAACCAACGGGGAUUCCCAUAGUAACUGCGAGUGAAAGGGGAAAAGCCCAGCGCCGAAUCCCGUUGCCGGCGACGGUGACGGGAACUGUGGCGUGAAGAAGGUGUCUAUCGGUGUGACUGGCUCGCGUAAGUUCUCCUGAGUGAGGCUCCAUCCCAUGGAGGGUGCAAGGCCCGUGUCGCGAGCAGUCGUCGCUGAUGCGCGCUUUCAGAGAGUCGCCUUGUUUGCGAGUACAAGGUGAAGUCGGUGGUAAACUCCAUCGAAGGCUAAAUAUGACCACGAGUCCGAUAGCGAACAAGUACCGUGAGGGAAAAUUGAAAAGCACUUUGAAGAGAGAGCGAAACAGUGCGUGAAACCGCUCAGAGGCAAGCAGAUGGGGCCUCGAAGGCAAAGCACCGAAUUCAGCCGGUGGUCCGUGCGGUUGGCUGGCGUGUGAGAUUGCAAAACUCUGCGUCGGUCAAGUUAAGCGCGGCUGCCGGUGCACUUUCGGUGCUUGUACGCCACCGCCGUUGCGGAGCGUCCGUCGGGUCUGCAGGUGAAGCCUUACUCUCUUCAUCGGGAGUAGGUGUCUUACAGCGGGCUUUGACGCGUUCGCACCACAACCGGUCAUGUCAGCGUGUGUCAGCGUAUGCGUUGGGCCGGUAGGCUCCGGGUGGGUGGCUGUGGCGAUGACGAGCUUGCUCGGCUCGCUCGCACCUGCUGGAAUCCUGCCGGCUGUCAGCGUGACACAUUGUCGAUUCGGUGGCGAGUAGACGGCUGCCCAUCUAACCCGUCUUGA
rnacentral:rRNA from 1 species